UGCGUAGGCGGUUAGUUAAGUCUGUUGUGAAAUCCCCGGGCUCAACCUGGGAAUGGCAAUGGAUACUGGCUAGCUAGAGUGUGUCAGAGGAUGGUGGAAUUUCCGGUGUAGCGGUGAAAUGCGUAGAGAUCGGAAGGAACAUCAGUGGCGAAGGCGGCCAUCUGGGACAACACUGACGCUGAAGCACGAAAGCGUGGGGGAGCAAACA
rnacentral:rRNA from 1 species